AUGGAGGAUAGCCGUACCCUGAUGGAGCUCUGGCUGUGACUUGUGUGUUAACUGAAUUAAAAUCACAUCACAGGCAGAGUUCUAGUUAGGUAACGGUUUCAAACAACA